CAGCUGCGAUGACUUCUUAGGACGCCUUUGUAUUACUCGUGAAAAUAACUGAGAGACCUGAGCUAC